AUGGACACCAAUAGCAUCAGAAACAAACAGAUUACGAUACUGGGGAAAACUUUUCUUAGCUGAAAUGUAAAAGGACGAUGUAGACACAUGUGUAUGCCUGAUAUAUCCAAAUGCCUGAACCUGUACUUGUAUAUAUAUAAUGUGCCAUCUGAGGAAUCCACUGUACAUAUAACCAUGGCAUCCUUUACUGUUCACCCUCUCCUUCCCAUUCCACUCCCUCCUCUUUUUUCUGU